rnacentral:rRNA from 1 species
GAAACCCAGUGCAAUUCGUUGCACUAUCGUUAACUGAAUACAUAGGUUAACGAGGCGAACCGGGGAACUGAAACAUCUAAGUACCCCGAGGAAAAGAAACCAACCGAGAUUCCCCCAGUAGCGGCGAGCGAACGGGGAGCAGCCCAGAGUCUGAAUCAGCUUGUGUGUUAGUGGAACGGUCUGGAAAGUCCGACGGUACAGGGUGAUAGUCCCGUACACCAAAUGCACAGGCUGUGAACUCGAAGAGUAGGGCGGGACACGUGGUAUCCUGUCUGAAUAUGGGGG